rnacentral:rRNA from 1 species
GACGAACGCUGGCGGCGUGCUUAACACAUGCAAGUCGAACGGUGAAGCGCCUUCCUUUUUGGCGGGUGUGGAUGAGUGGCGAACGGGUGAGUAACACGUGAGUAACCUGCCCCCUCCUUCUGGAUAACCGCAUGAAAGUGUGGCUAAUACGGGAUAUUCCGGGUCUGUCGCAUGAUGGGUUUGGGAAAGAUAUUGUUUCGGUGGGGGAUGGGCUCGCGGCCUAUCAGCUUGUUGGUGGGGUGAUGGCCUACCAAGGCGGUGACGGGUAGCCGGCCUGAGAGGGUGGUCGAUCACGGUGGGGAGGAGCCGCGGCCACGCCUCCUACGGGAAGCAGCGGUGAGUACUAUUGCACGGUGGGCGGAAGCCUGAUGCAGCGCCGCCGCGUGAGGGAUGGAGGCCUUCGGGUUGUGAACCUCUUUCGCCAGUGAAGCAGACCUGCCUCGUUUGUGGGUGGGUUGACGGUAGCUGGAUAAGAAGCGCCGGCUAACUACGUG